rnacentral:lncRNA from 1 species
UAUCUGCAAAACUUAAAUAAUAUCCCACAAACACAGGAAAAACAGAAGCUAAAAAUGAAUAAAUGUGUGCAUUGUACUGAUACAUAUGCAUUGUACUGAUAUAGUUCAUCCUAUUAACUUUAUUAUAACCAAUAUUAUGUCACAACCUUGAAGUACUAAUGGAUUUACAUGUCUAAAUAAAUGCUUCAUCUCAUCAACUUCGUGUGCCAGACCAAACAUCCUAGAAUGCUCACAAUCAACAAAUUAAAUAUAUAUAACUACCAUACACAUGUAACACGAACACAUGACUCAUUCAAAUGAUUAUAGUUUGUUUAACUUGUACUAGUUUACAUUAACUAACAAUUUCUUGACGAAACUAACACAAGAAUUUGUACUUUUAUAAAAGGUGUGAUCCUUAGCCACAUGUUAUUCUCAUAUUAAAUAUAUAGCGCAUGCACAUGCCAACCUUCUCAACACGUCAUAUCCAAUUCUAUCAACAACGCCGUUAUCAAUUUGGAUAAGCAACAGGGGGUGCCACCAAUCACGAAUUGAAUUAACAAUCCAUUUGAAAACUCCUUUCUGUUUCAAUUAUUGACUCACAGUACAUAAUUUUCCAACGCCCAAUUGUAUCGUAUGCAUCCUUUGUCAAAAUAAAUAAUCAUUUUGAUUAUGUCUGUUAGCAAUGGAAACGGGUGGCUCAACCGUAUUUGCCUUCAAAUGCUACCAAAGCAUGAUCUAAGCAUCAGGUUUGGUCUUAAUCAGAAUAUUGAAUGCAAUUCCUUUAACAAAAAGUUACCAAUAAUUGGGUUAUUUUAUCGUUAUAAGUCCAAAAAAUAACCAUGAUCAUUGUAACUAAUGGGACUAGAACGCAAUAUUUCGGUUGAUAAAAUAGAAAGUGUUGAAAGAAGUGUUAAUGGUAUUUCAUACAAAAAGAGUAUAUAUAUAUAUACAAUUUCUGUGGGAGCUAUGAUCUGAUUGGAUAUCACUGAAAAUUCAUUGGUGAUGUGAUAUAUAUGUAUUUCUACAAAGAAUCUUCAGGAUUAUGUAAUUGAUGACGCUUAUCGUCAUGUUCCAAAUAAUCCAAUUUCAUUUAUAUAUAUAUAUAUAUAUAUAUAUUUAGAUUUAAAUAUUUAUAUCUAUAUAAAUAUUCUUAUAUUUUUUUUUUUUUUUUUUUUUUUUUUUUUUCAUUUUUGGUAUUAUCCUCUCUGAUCAUAGACAUGGUUCACAAAUAUGGUGGGGUUGAUGGUGCUGUUCUGUUUCACUUGGUACUUCACUGAAUCUGCUGCGUAAAGGUUAUUGGGAAUUUCAAGUGGCUGUGGCUUUAUGAAAGGGUCUAUUCCACCAUUGGCAGUGUUAAGUUGAAAAUCAAAGCUUGACGUGUAUGAUGCAUCAGAUAGUAUGUGUGAUAUUGGACCCAAGUAAUCCAUAUCCAAAAGAUGAGUAAGGGAACUAGUCCUUGGAAAUUUCACCACUUCUUGUUCAGUCUCAUUAUUUGGUGGUGUGAGAUUGAUUUGUGCUAUUGGGUAGUCCUCUUUUGCCUCCAAUGAUUUUCCCAUGUUCUUCUUCUUGUAGAUCCUACACAAGACCCAGUCAUCUAGCUGAUGACAUAUCCAAGAACAAGGGUAAGGUCAAAUAAAAUAAAACAGCAGCCUACAGAGGAAUUUCAAACAGUUAAAACUCUUUAAAUAUUUAAUAUUUAUAGUCUUAUCUUUUCUGAUAGAAGAUACAUGUAAUUUCAUAUAAAAAAAAACUUAUAGUAAUUAAUAAGGCAAAGGCUUACCCUCAUGGAUCCAAUUUGUCUAUUGGUUUGUCUUCUUGAUCCUAUUAAUCUGUACUCAUGCAUAAUCCAAUCUGUCUUGAUACCCUUUGGUGGCUUACCCUUGUAAAAGACCAAAGCUUUCUUCACCCCAAUAUGCUUAGAGCCACUAUAGAUUGCUUUAUCAGUACCAGUGGCCUUCCAAUACCCAGACACAGUUGCUCUAUUAGGCCUCACUCCAUUUGGGUACUUCCUUUCCCUUGGGCUAAAGAAAUACCAUUCAUUUUCUCCAAAGUCUGUUUUCUCUGUAUUUCACAAGAAUUUGACAUGUCAGAACAACAGAAACAUGCACAUGCACAUAUUACAAUAGGUUCAAAUAUAGGUUUGAUAUUUUAGUAUAUGUUAUCACAUGUACCAGGUAAUUCCCACGGAUCAAACUUAUAGAUAUCAACUUCUGGAAUUAUUGAUGCAGGGCAUGGUUUUGAUGUGGCUUGGUUACAAAGGUAGUACACGAUUAGUUCCUCAUCAGUGGGGUGAAACCUGAAGCCAGGUGGGAGCACAGAGCUUGUUCUGCCCUCCAUUGAGCAGAGUGAAAACCAAGUUUGAAU